AUACCGUAUAACAAUCAAAACCGCAUGGUUUUGAUUUGAAAGGCGCUUUCGGGUGUCGCUGAUGGAUGGACCCGCGGUGCAUUAGCUAGUUGGUGAGGUAACGGCUCACCAAGGCCACGAUGCAUAGCCGACCUGAGAGGGUGAUCGGCCACAUUGGGACUGAGACACGGCCCAAACUCCUACGGGAGGCAGCAGUAGGGAAUCUUCGGCAAUGGACGAAAGUCUGACCGAGCAACGCCGCGUGAGUGAAGAAGGUUUUCGGAUCGUAAAACUCUGUUGUUAGAGAAGAACAAGGAUGAGAGUAACUGUUCAUCCCUUGACGGUAUCUAACCAGAAAGCCACGGCUAACUACGUGCCAGCAGCCGCGGUAAUACGUAGGUGGCAAGCGUUGUCCGGAUUUAUUGGGCGUAAAGCGAGCGCAGGCGGUUUCUUAAGUCUGAUGUGAAAGCCCCCGGCUCAACCGGGGAGGGUCAUUGGAAACUGGGAGACUUGAGUGCAGAAAGGAGAGUGGAAUUCCAUGUGUAGC
rnacentral:rRNA from 1 species